ensembl:lincRNA
GGGCCAGGUCCUGGGCGCAGGGCAGCGGCUGAGGCUCCGGCGCCGGGAAGAAGUUGACAAAGGGACUUGACUAAACAUGAAUGCGUAUUUAUAGAUGCGAGCUCCAUCGAGAUCUAGAGAUAUCCCGCUCUCCCUGGCUCCUUCCACUCCUGCCAUUUCAUUUUUAUCGCUCCUUUAAGUGGAGGGCAGAUUAAAAAAAAAAAAAAAAAUUCCUGCACGGUGUGGGUAAUCGCCGCGUUAUUUACAAUCUAGUUACUCUGCAGCAGACGGGGAAGAAAACUCUGGGGCUCCUUCCCUUCGGAUGGAUAGAGAGGGCGGCCGGGCGGCGAGCUGCAGGAAGGAGGUCAGGGUGGGCUUGCGGGAGCUCGGGGGCGACCUGGAGGGAGCGGGAGCCCCCGGCGCCGCCCCCGCGCCCGCUCCCGCCCCCGCCGCACCCCCCGGGGCGGGCGCCGGGCCGCGGUGACCGCCGGCUGGUGCGCUGCCCUCGCCUCCCCCAUUGUUCCUACUGUCUUUUUGCCUUUUGUUAUUUGCACUCGCAUUGUGUUGUUUGUCUCUGAAGCCGCCUCAUGACCAGCAAAGGGAUUUCACCUCGUCCUUGAGAGCAACACGGGGAGCGCGAGCGAGCGGGCGAGCGAGAGACGGGGGGAGAGAGAGGGACACGCGCGCGCACACACACACACACACCGGCACACACACACACACACAGACACACACACACACAGAGUGAAAAAGGCGAGCCACCAAAACCCAUCUCCAGUCUCCUCCCGGGGGCCCCCAGCCCGCCUCUGUGCCACUUUGCAUCCCACGCCGGAGGAGGCAUUAACGAGACCGGGCUUUUUAACCGGUCCAAGGUGUAGAGACAUACUUCAGAAGGAUCCUCAGAAGUUUUGGACAAGCCUCCCCCAAUGUGGCAGGUGCCGUGCUGGCCAUCGGUGACCCAAAGAUGAUGAAAAAUAUGUUCCUGCUCACGAGGAGUUAGCGACCUACUGGGGUAUGUACAAUGCUUAUUUUGUUAUUUUUAAUAUGAUGUUUAUGUUAAGUAUUGUGUAGAGAGCUAAUAUGUAAAAAGUAUUUGGCAAAUAAAUUUUGCAAGUAUUUGGCACAAUUUUUCCUUUUACUGAAUGUACUAAUGCUAAAAAAGUUGGUAAGUUGGAGAUUGUUGCUCAUAUAACCAAAUCCAUUAAAAACAGGUUCAAUUUUUGUAGAUUCUGUAGUAAUAGGGCAGAUUAAAUUUUAAAAAGCCACUGAGACUUGUCUGUACUUCCUACAUUUGUGUGUACUUGAAGGCAAAUGAAAGUAGACUAGAAAUGCCACCAAAGCACAUCACACAUUAGCAACAAUGUGCAUUUCUUCCUCACACAUAUAACAUUGACUAUUCUGCUUUUUAUUGGUUACUUUAUUCAUAAUUACUAUCUUUUCAUCUUCUCCUACUUCAUCAGUUCCUCCAAUUGAGCUAAGUCCAUACUGGGAUAAAAUAUGUCUUUCCUUUCUUAAUUAAUGUUGAUUUUUGCCACAAUGUAUAUUUUGAGUCAUAAUAAAAUUUAUAAUAGUUUCUUCUUACAGUAAACCAUGCAGGUUGCCGUGAAUAGUCUUGAAGGACUAAAUAUAGUAAAUGCAGUAAAUAAAAAGAAAAACUAUUAUAUUCUAAUGCUGCUUUCUAUAUUUUAUAGCUUAUUGUAGGGGGAUAGAAUUAGAAAAAAAGAUAAGAAAUAUAAGUUGAACUUAAUUUCUAGUAGUUCAAGAAAAUGCUACACAGCUCUAACAAGGAUGAUUUUGGAUAUAUUUAAUAAGUUUUAAUACACUAUUUAGAUUAAACAUCAUAACUGCUGAGAGUGCAGUUCUGAUCAUUUUUAAAAUGUGAGGAAACCAGGAAAGAACAUGUCUCUUUUCUUGGCAAUAUGAUUUUAAUUUUUAAAAGCACUUAAUUACAUAAGCUAUAUCCAUCAUCUUUGCAUAGAUAAAUGUUGUGGCAAUUUUUUGAAUGAACCUCUUGGUUUCCUAAGAAAUUAUGGAUACACCAUAAAUUUACAAAUGAAAGGCCAUUCAUCAGAGUUAUAAAUAUGAGUGGUUCCCGUGCUGAUGCCCAUGUAAACUUAAAGUGGUUUAAUAUCUAUUGGCUUUUGUAUAUAGUUAGUACUGAGAAGAAUAUAGAUAUUGUCAUACUUACAUGGUGUCAUAACAUUGGCAAAGUGGUAGAACAACAUGCAAUAUUUUUUUGAAUAGCGUGGCAUUUCUUUGAAUUAUUGCUGGCAACAGAACAUAAAUCAGCCUUAAUGAUGGAUAUUCCAAAGAUGUUUAUUAAUCUAUUCAUUUAAUUUAAGAUACUCACUCUUGGCAUUUAUAGAGCCAGCUCAUAGGAAGUGGCAAGUUCUUCUAAACCUCAGCAGUUACUUUUAGGGACCCCGUUAUUAUGUCAGCUAAGUCUGGUUGCAAUUGAGAUCAGAAUGCAUAAAAAUUAUUUCCUGCUAAUAUCUGCUAAAUAUAUUUAAGCAAAAUUGAUUUUCUUAUAUGUGUCUAAACAAAAUCUCAAUUUGUUUCACCAUUGAAUGAAACUUACUACAUGACUGUCUAUUUGAACUCUCCAUUUUUAAAGCCUAUUUUUCUUCUUCUUCUUUUUCUUUUUUCCUUCCCCUACCCCUUUCCUUUCUCUCUGUCUUUUUCUCCACUAGAAAAUAAUCCUGCAUUGUGUAAAUUUGAUUGAAAAGGACUGGAAAACUGACAAAAUUCCUCUGUACCAAAUUAAUGAACAGCAUAUGGCAUAUGAUUUUGAUAAUAUGUAAUCAGAUUAAAGACAGCUAGGAUGGACGGCAGUCAAGAGCACAGAGUAGAGGGGGAAUUUACAUUUGAUAGGAAAGGUCAAAGAAAGCCAGUAAUAGUUACACUGAAGAAGGAGUCAGCUAUGCAAAUAUUAUGGAAUUAGGAUAGUAUGAAAGUGUGUGCAUGUGCUUUACUAACAUAUGAAAAAUUCAGGCACAGAGCUAACUUCUGAAUUAAAAUAAUGUAAACAGAAUUCAGUUUCUCUCCAUCUCUCAGAGUCCACUAAUACAGUCUCCGUUUCUGACUUCAUUUGGUAGUAAGAUGGUGGCAGGGGCAUCGCUUCAGCUGUAACAUCCUCUCAGGCUUCAGGUCAAGCUGGAAAAGAGAAGAUGCCUUUCUCAGAAGCCCUAUAAAAAGUGUCUUUGUACUAAUUUGUUCUGAUUAGAUCACUGAAUAAUCUUGUGCCCCUCUCUUGGAGCAGAGAGCAGAAUCACUUUUGUAAUUUUCCAUGGACUAGGCACUGGGUUUGUAUCCCAGAAGGAAAUAGGGUACUAUUAACUGAAAGAGGCUGCAUUAAUGCUAGGUAGCAAAAAAUAAAUGGAUUGCUGCCAGAAAAAUCACAAUGGGCACAUAUACAUGAAAAUUUGCAUAUCAUUCUAGAAGUCUUUGGAUUUCCUAGCAAUCUGUGGGUUGUAGGAUAAGAAACUUGAAUAGUGACAAUGAAUCUAUGCCUUCUAGAACAAACAAAAAUAGCAUUGCUACCAUAGCCAUCCAGGAUAAUGAGUUGUUACCGGGACUAUUUCCUGAAUAAAGAGACAAAAUGAGGAUAAUAUGUAACGAGUAGUUUAAAUGAUAAUACCAAAUUAAGAAUAAAAGCAAGUUACAUAAUUUUGUUAACUAAAGUGAAAUGAGUGGUUCAGCCUUGGAGGUGCUUCUUUACUAGUAUUUGUAUUAAAAAACUAGGCAAAUCUUUUAUUUAAGGUAAGCACUUUAUACUGGCAACAUAAAAAGACAUAUUAGGAAAAGAAGUUUUCUUUGAUUCAAUAGCUUUUAUUGUUAUAGAAGCCUUUGUAUCCCAAAUCUCUUCAACUUCAGUUAAAAAAGUAGUAAUCAAGUCUAUUAAAGUAAAUUGUAAAAAAAACAUUUUCAAUAAUUAUAUCAAAUUUUGUGUUGAUUAGCUGAUUUUUUUCUUCUUGUCCAUAUUUUAUUUUGGAACAUGUUGAUGAAGUCAUUUAUUUUCUUAAUAAUUAUUUUUAAUUGAGUAAUUUAGAUAGAAUUGAUAGAAGAUGUAAGUCAAUCAUAGGAAAACAUGGGUACUUUUUAAAUGCCUACAUGGCGGUUAUUUAUUUUUCUAUGCAAUUGGGAAGAAAUUAACCUUUUAACAAGGUGAAGACAAGAGUAGCUCUCACUGAAAUGGAAGUCAUAAUUAUGCUUUAUUGUUCCAUAGAUUCCUUAGUUUCUUGAAAGAAGGAGUCAGCCUGGAGUUUUAAGUUGGUUCACUUGAGCAUAACAGUUUUUCCUCUUGAGCAACUCAAAAUAUCACUCAACAAUGGGAAAAAAUUCCUUGUUUACCAGAUAUUUUUGAGGAAUAAAUUUGUUAAAGAAGGUACAGUGUGUCACCUUUUGUCUCUUUGCACAAAUGAAAGCCCUGUGAAUUUAGCACUGUUCCUCAUGAAUGGAUAAACUUUUGAACCAAAAUCUUCCAUUAUUACUAAAAUGAGUUGUUACUCCUCCUCAAGUUUGAUAUACCCAAGUUGCAGAGAAAUAUAUCAUUUUCCCCCUACCAAUUAAUGCCGCUGAAAUACAGCUAUCAUGUGGGAUGAUCAGUUUUCAAAAUAGUUAUACAAAGGCCAUAGUGUAUCUGAUUAUGAAGAUUAACAUGUUAUUUGGAAAAUAAACUCUUUCCCCAAACCUCUGUUUGCCACCAGUUCUUGCUUCGACUGAGACACGUUCGUGGAUUUCUGAUCAUUCUGUGUGUAUAUAGAUUUUGUUUUGUUUUCCUUUGUAGAUUACAACGUAUCUUUACAUAGUGUCAAUUUUCUGUGAGUAGAAAACAGCAGGUAGUUCAUUUGCAGAAAAGUGAUUUACAGAUUUUCUUGCUAUGCAUUCCUUCCUUUGAUUUUCAGUUCCAGUUUUAAUUUAACCUAGCUAGGGGAUUGCUUCUCUCCAUAGUAAUAUAUCAGCCAUCAAUAGAGUUUGGAGGAAAAGCGAGUUUCUCACUUAUAUGAAGAAUAAAGAACAAAUUUAUUCAUAUAUAUAUAUGAAAAAGUGUUAAGUUGUUCUUCAGUUUUGGCUGACACAAAUCAGUGGAUAUUUUUAAGGCUGUGGAGUUAAGGCAAGAAGACUAUGUCAUUCUUAUAGUCCUUUCUAAGGACAGAAGAAAGUGGAUCAAAAUACUGUAAGAAAAAUCCAACCAUAUUUUUGUAAUGUGAUGUCCAAUUUGGCUGUGUAGGUGUGAGUUUCAGGUAAACUUAAUGCAUUUACAGAUGUGAAUUAUAAAAACAUGUCCUAGUAUUAAUUUUAAGGGCUUUUCAAGGAGAAGAAUGAGUUUCAUUGAGAACCCCAAAGCAUAGAUUACUAAAGACAAUUGCCUCUCUGAAUAGGACAUGAGCUAAGGAGUGAACAGAGGGAGAAAAUUCGCAUACAUGUUUUGAGUUUCACUUUAGGACUCUUGAAAGCUGUGGUCACUGAUUGGGAUUUUUCUCUAACUAGGAGUCAAAGAGACAAAGAAGCUAAUCUAAAUAAUCUUUCUCAGGUUUUCUAAAAAUGCCUGCAGAUGAAAACAUGUCAGACAACUGAUCCAGUAAGCGGCCUGAAAGGUUUGCUGUUUGUUUGUUUUAAUCCUGUCUUCCUGAGAGGGAAAUAAAAGAAGCUGAGG